CAGCAUUCUCAGAAAAAUGGGCUGAGUUUAGUCUGGCCCCCCUUGAAAAGCAUCACCAGGAAGGAAACAGUACACAGUAAAAAAGAAUCUAAAGAAAUAUAUGAGAGGUUGGGUUCCUGGUGGUCACCUCUCCUAAGCACCUCGAGACUAGCAGCCCUUAAUCAUCCUACAAUAAGUGGAGUGCAGCUGAGAUUGUCUCCUGUCUGCACAAUGCCCCGAUCCUCAGGAAGGACUGUCCUGCUGGGGGAAGUUCACACCCUGGACAUCUGUUUGGGCUGGAAGACAGUUAAUUUUCAUCA